rnacentral:tRNA from 1 species
GAUUAUUUAUUUUAUUGAGAAUAAGUAAUUUCCAAUUACUAGGUUAUAUAAUCA